rnacentral:lncRNA from 1 species
CCACCACAAUGCCAAAUACAUAUCAACUUAAGAUUCCUUCCCAUGCCUACUAUAAUUCACGUCAGAAUGCAAGGAGUCAUAUAACGUGAGUUAAACCUGACCAAGCUUCAGAAGGUUAUCCAUUCUUUUAACUUCAUUUUCUCUUCUUAUUCUUCCUCAAGAGAUUUUGGGCCACCAAUCGAACUGACUGCAGACAAAAACACACAUAGAAAGAGAGAAAGAGAGAAUGAAAUUCCAGACCAAUAGGUUCCUUGAGGCGUGAUGCACAUAUGAUUUUCUUUUUAGGUUAACGGUGUAAACGCUGUUAGAGUUUUAAGUAGUAUAAGAAAACUCCCUGGGCGGCUUUGAUUCAACGAUAAAGGUAGCAUAACGCGUAAUGCAUGGUAGGCGCACAUCAUGAGUUCGAAUCCUAGCUAGUAAACCGUGUCUUGUAUUUAAGUUUGUGUGUGUAUAUACACAUAUACGUUAUACGUAUAUAUGCACAUAGAGACAGUUGCUAAGAAUGUAAGAACCUCAUAUAAGAUACUUGUCGUUGUUCGGUCACGGCUCAUCACAUCAAAACAAUAAAUACCACAAAUUCCAGAAAAGACUUAAAGUAUGUCAUCUGGAUAACUCUAUCGAAAGAGACAAUUAAAGAUCACAUGGAUGAUGCUCCUAGAAAAACGCAAAUGCGAAGCAUAUUACGAUAAACGAGAUAAUUGCGGGGCACAAGCAGCAGAUGAAAGAGCAAGACAAAGAAUCACCUUAGUGUCAUCGGGCAUCAUUUAAAAGAUAAGUCAACCUCUUCUCCUUCCGAGCCCUCACCGAAUUGGAUGUGUUGCCUGCACUUGCUACACGAUGCAUCGCAGAUAUCCCUAGAAACCAACCAAACGGACUUCAAUGUUCUGUUUGUAUUGCAAGUUCCAAUAAAUAAUUUGUAAUUCAGAAGAAGAAAAUCGACCUACCUCAUUAAAAUCGCUCGCUUUCAGUCAGUAGAAACCCUUCUGCUCCUUGCUGGAAUUCUUUUCAGGUAUAUCGACUAAAUUCCAUUUGUCUUCACGGUUGAGAAUGAAAGCAGAUUAAAUUAUUGGUAGAACUCUGUGAGUUUGUCUUCUUCCUUAAGGCCUUGAUGCUUUGGGAUGAAAUGAUCUUUUGAAUUCUUUUUCCUUUUUUUUUUCCUCC